AUUGAACGCUGGCGGCAUGCCUUACACAUGCAAGUCGAACGGCAGCACGGGCUUCGGUCUGGUGGCGAGUGGCGAACGGGUGAGUAAAGUAUCGGAACGUACCAUUCAGUGGGGGAUAACGUAGCGAAAGUUACGCUAAUACCGCAUAUUCUGUGAGCAGGAAAGCAGGGGAUCGCAAGACCUUGCGCUGAUUGAGCGGCCGAUAUCAGAUUAGCUAGUUGGUGAGGUAAAGGCUCACCAAGGCGACGAUCUGUAGCGGGUCUGAGAGGAUGAUCGGCGACGCUGGGACUGGGACACGGCCCAGACUCCUACGGGAGGCAGCAGUGGGGAAUUUUGGACAAUGGGGGCAACCCUGAUCCAGCCAUGCCGCGUGAGUGAAGAAGGCCUUCGGGUUGUAAAGCUCUUUCAGCCGGGAAGAAAUCGCACUCUCUAAUACAGGGUGUGGAUGACGGUACCGGAAUAAGGAGCACCGGCUAACUACGUGCCAGCCGCCGCAGUAAAAC
rnacentral:rRNA from 1 species